UACAGAGGUCUCAAGCGUUGUUCGGAUUCAUUGGGCGUAAAGGGUGUGUAGGCGGCGGCGUAAGUCGGGUGUGAAAUCCCAGGGCUCAACCCUGGAACUGCACUCGAUACUGCGUCGCUGGAGGACUGGAGAGGAGACUGGAAUUCACGGUGUAGCAGUGAAAUGCGUAGAUAUCGUAAGGAAGACCAGUGGCGAAGGCGGGUCUCUGGACAGUUCCUGACGCUGAGGCACGAAGGUCAGGGGAGCAAACGGG
rnacentral:rRNA from 1 species